GUGAAAUGAUGAUUCAGUUUAUCCAUUCGCUGAGUGCGCUGUACUGACCGUCUUCCAAACCUCAGUUCCUGUUCUAGGAGCUGGGGCUGUGCAGCCUCCAAAUGCCCUGCAGCCUGCAGUGUUCUACUGUGGGCUGCUCGGGUGUUGGUUGGCUGCUGGUGAGAACGGCUAGUGACAGCAGGGGUGAGGCCCUCUGGGCCCAUCUCACCAAGAUGAGUGGUAAAAUCUGAUCAC